UGGUUAUCUAUUCUUUAAGAACAUUUC
rnacentral:piRNA from 1 species